CCUGCCUCAUACAGGGGGAUAGCAGCUGGAAACGGCUGAUAAAACCGCAUAAGCGCACAGCAUCGCAUGAUGCAGUGUGAAAACUCCGGUGGUAUGAGAUGGACCCGCGUCUGAUUAGCUGGUUGGAGAGGUAACGGCUCACCAAGGCGACGAUGGGUAGCCGGCCUGAGAGGGUGACCGCCCACACUGGGACUGAGACACGGCCCAGACUCCUACGGGAGGCAGCAGUAGGGAAUUUUGCGCAAUGGGGGCAACCCUGACGCAGCGACGCCGCGUGAGCGAAGAAGGCUUUCGGGUCGUAAAGCUCUGUCCUAUGGGAAGAAAAUGACGGUACCAUAGGAGGAAGCCCCGGCUAACUACGUGCCAGCAGCCGCGGUAAUACGUAGGGGGCAAGCGUUGUCCGGAAUUAUUGGGCGUAAAGGGUGCGUAGGCGGGUAUGUAAGUCCGGUGUGAAAUGCUUCGGCUUAACCGGGGAGUUGCAUUGGAAACUGCAUAUCUAGAGUACAGGAGAGGGAAGCGGAAUUCCUAGUGUAGCGGUGAUAUGCGUAGAUAUUAGGAGGAACACCAGUGGCGAAGGCGGCUUCCUGGACUGAAACUGACGCUGAUGCACGAAAGCUGGGGUAGCGAACAGGAUUAGAUACCCUGGUAGUCCCAGCCGUAAACGAUGGGUACUA
rnacentral:rRNA from 1 species